UUCCAUUGUGCGAGGGUUAGUCCUCGCUGAUAUGUCGAACUGUUUGCAACGGAGCUGUGUGUCUACAGUGCAAUUAUAAAUAAAGGAAUACUAUGUGGUACAUGACUACUAGUGUACAUGUUAAUGGUAUUACCAUUACGUUGCGUUUGAUUGAAUGUAAUUCGGGAUUGGCGGGUAACUGGAAUGAGGAAUAUUGCAUUGUUGAAUAUUAUGCCGAUGGUCUUGUUGAGUUGAGUAUAGCCGUUGGUCAGAGACCACUGUGUUGAUUUAUGACUGUUGUUGUGGAUCCUGGAUGGGACACCGCUUUGAGGAUGAUCCUGUCUGGAUUAGUGAAUUGGGAUUGCUGUGUGGAACAGAAACUGUACGCAUUUUUUUGGAUUUAAGACCGUUAUGUGGAUUCGAGAUUGCUGGACGACAUGGAAUUUACUUAGUAAAGACUGGAAGCUGGCAGAUCUUUGGGUUGUAUGAUUGUGUAGAUAUUGUUUUGAAAUUUAAUUUAUUUGUAAUUGUAUAGUAUUUUACAAUUCUUAAAAUCAUCUAGUUUUGAUUUGUUUAUUUUGUUAACGUUUUUUAUGUAUAUUGUUAUUGCUACAAUUGUAUAUUUUAAUAUUACUUGUCAUACAGUAUUGAUGAUUUGAACUUCAGGUUUGAUGUGGUGCAUGUACAAGAACGUAAUAAUAGUACCGAUGCUCUUAUGUAGUUGAAUGAAUAUUCGACGGAUGACCUCCGUCGAAUAUUCAUAAAUUGUGGGGGAAAUUCAAUUAAUUCUUUGGGACUUUGUAAUAGUAGUUGGGUACACACGUGUCUAUAAUGUAGAUAGUGACUGUUUUUGUUCACAUUUCCUGUACCUUCAGAUGUCGCUUUAGAGAAACGCCAUUAUAAUACCCCAACCUUUCCUAGUAAAAUAAAUCUGUUGACGUAGGCCCUAUUUAGUGAAGGGUGAUUUGCCUUCGGACAAUAGUAAGGCUAGGAUGCAUUAGGAUAAGUUUGACCGUCGCGAAUUCAUUUAAUUUAAACGUUCGAUUUUCAGCUGUUUUCGCUAUUUUU